rnacentral:rRNA from 1 species
UGGGGAAUUUUGGACAAUGGGGGCAACCCUGAUCCAGCCAUGCCGCGUGCGGGAAGAAGGCCUUCGGGUUGUAAACCGCUUUUAGUCGGGAAGAAAAGGCGUCGCCUAAUACGCGGCGUUCUUGACGGUACCGGCGGAAUAAGCACCGGCUAACUACGUGCCAGCAGCCGCGGUAAUACGUAGGGUGCGAGCGUUAAUCGGAAUUACUGGGCGUAAAGCGUGCGCAGGCGGUUCGUUAAGUCUGAUGUGAAAGCCCCGGGCUCAACCUGGGAACUGCAUUGGAAACUGGCGGGCUUGAGUAUGGCAGAGGGGGGUGGAAUUCCGCGUGUAGCAGUGAAAUGCGUAGAGAUGCGGAGGAACACCGAUGGCGAAGGCAGCCCCCUGGGCCAAUACUGACGCUCAGGCACGAAAGCGUGGGGAGCAAACA